rnacentral:tRNA from 1 species
GAGGUUGUGGCUCAGAGGUAGAGCUCUCGCCUAGCGCGUGCAAGGCCCUGGGUUUGAUCCUCAGCACCACA